rnacentral:rRNA from 1 species
UACGUAGGGGGCAAGCGUUAUCCGGAUUUAUUGGGCGUAAAGCGUGCGUAGGCGGUUUACUAAGUUUAAGAUUAAAGCCCGGAGCUCAACUCCGGUUCGUCUUAAAAACUGGCAAACUCGAGUAUGGUAGAGGCAAACGGAAUUUCUAGUGUAGCGGUGGAAUGCGUAGAUAUUAGAAGGAACACCAGUGGCGAAAGCGGUUUGCUGGGCCAUCACUGACGCUGAGGCACGAAAGCGUGGGGAGCAAAUA